UCAGGACGAGGGACAAAAGGGGAGGUGAGGAAACCUAGGCUGCGGAGCCCAUGCGACAGGAAGCUGCCCCGAUCAGGCAACCGGGCUCCCUCAAAGAACUGAGUGCCUACCUCUCUUGUGGGAUCUCCAGACAGCUUGGAUCAUGGAAGAGGCCCCGAUUCUUCCUGAGGCAAUGGCUGUCUCCACUGAAUAGCAGCUAAUACAGAAAAAGGAAAGCAUGGCCAUAGAUUUGAAAGCAUUUCCUCACAGCUGAACUGCCAGCCUGCUCUUACCGACACACAACUCACUGAUUCAGACAGGGUCAAGUGGUGACUGGUAGAGCUACCCUGUCUGAAGUAUUGGCCCUCUGCUUCUGGCAAGAUGCUGACUGUUCUGAAGAAGGCAUUAUUUGGGCCCUGAAGACUACAGCUAUGGAAGAUCUUGAAGGCAACCUCUGGAGCCUACUGCUGACUGCACUCCCCACAGCUGGCUGUAGCUCCUUCUUAAGUUGAUCUGGCUAUAGGGACUGAAGUUUACACCCACUGUUAAGCCACUGCUGCUGAUCAGUUAUACACAAGUUUAUUUCAGCCUCUAAAUAAAUUGAUUUCA